CGCCUUGCCAGCCCGCUCAGAAACUUAAAGGAAGUUGACGGGGGCCCGCACAAGCGGUGGAGCAUGUGGUUUAAUUCGAUGAUACGCGAGGAACCUUACCUGGGCUCAAAUGUAUGUUGACGUAUUCUGAAAGGGAUACUUCUUCGGACAAUAUACAAGGUGCUGCAUGGUUGUCGUCAGCUCGUGCCGUGAGGUGUCGGGUUAAGUCCCAUAACGAGCGCAACCCCUAUCAUUAGUUGCCAUCAGGUCAAGCUGGGGACUCUAAUGAAACUGCCUACGCAAGUAGUGAGGAAGGUGGGGAUGACGUCAAAUCAGCACGGCCCUUACGUCCAGGGCUACACACGUGCUACAAUGGUCGGUACAAAGGGUUGCCAAGCCGCGAGGUGGAGCUAAUCCCAUAAAACCGAUCGUAGUCCGGAUCGCAGUCUGCAACUCGACUGCGUGAAGUCGGAAUCGCUAGUAAUCGUGAAUCAGAAUGUCACGGUGAAUACGUUCCCGGGCCUU
rnacentral:rRNA from 1 species